UGGGGAAUAUUGCGCAAUGGGCGAAAGCCUGACGCAGCGACGCCGCGUGAGGGAUGAAGGUUUUCGGAUCGUAAACCUCUGUCAGAAGGGAAGAAACCGCACUGUGCUAAUCAGCAGUGCCUUGACGGUACCUUCAAAGGAAGCACCGGCUAACUCCGUGCAAGCAGCCGCGGUAAUACGGAGGGUGCAAGCGUUAAUCGGAAUUACUGGGCGUAAAGCGCACGUAGGCUGCUUUGUAAGUCAGGGGUGAAAUCCCACGGCUCAACCGUGGAACUGCCUUUGAUACUGCUUAGCUUGAAUCCGGGAGAGGGUGGCGGAAUUCCAUGUGUAGGAGUGAAAUCCGUAGAUAUCUGGAGGAACAUCAGUGGCGAAGGCGGCCACCUGGACCGGUAUUGACGCUGAGGUGCGAAAGCGUGGGGAGCAAACAGG
rnacentral:rRNA from 1 species